rnacentral:misc_RNA from 1 species
GCAGAGCCAUGGCCCUCUUCUUUGUUCUCUGCUGGAUCCAAGAGUCGGGGGUCUCCCUAUGUUUCCCAGGCUGGCCUCGAACUCCUGACCUCAAGUGAUCCUCCCACCUCAGCCUCCCCGAGUGCUGGGAUUAAAGACGUGAGCCACGGCACCUGGCCUGAAUUUUCCUCAAAUUCAAAAAAUCCUGAUGAAGGUUUGGCUAAAAUCUUUGGUGAGUUACCCCACUCCCUGUGGAACCUCAGGCUGGAUUUGAAGAGUUGCGUGCAUGGUCCUCAUUGUCUCCCAGAUGAAAUUGUGCUCCAAGUGUUUUCCAAGGUUCCGUAUGACCCAUCAUUUGAUGAAACAAGAACAGCAGUCAGAUCCAUUACAAAGAGAGACACACAAAAAAGCUAUUCCCAACAGAAGAGCUUGAACAAUGCUGCAUUUGCAUCAGGUUCAAAUGAGCGAGAGGAACAUUUGGCUAAAAUAUUUGGAACCAGCAUUGCUUGGAAUUCUCCUAAACCAGAAUAUUUCCUUGGCAGUGUGGACAAAAUUCCUGAUAAAGAUCACCUUUCAGAGGAGAAGAAUUUUAAAGAAUCCUGUCUGUUCGACAGGGAUUUAAGAGAGCAGUUAACUACUAUAGAUAAAGAAACACUUCAAGGAGCAGCUAAACCAGAUGCUCACUUUAGGACUAUGCCCUGCGGGCAGCUUCUGCACUUCCUGCAGAGGAACAC